rnacentral:misc_RNA from 1 species
AAAAUUUACUCCUUGCUACCUAUAUUUAUGGCAUCCAGUCUAACCACUUGUGGUGUCCCAGCCUCCCGGGAGAAAGAGUGGAUGUUAAUUAGAAGGGAUAAAAUAAGUUCUUGCUAGUUGGAUGUAACUUUGUAAUUUGAAACAUUCUGAACAAAUAAUUGUAUGCAAGUAUUUUUUUUUUUGAAGCAAAACAAGUGAAAUUGUAUUAAUAGCAUGAACAUAAUGAUGUUAAGUUUGUGUUUACAUAGAAGCCUUUAGUUUUAUUUAUAUGGUAAUAAUUAGCCUAAACUCUGGAUAAUUGUUGUGAUCUUACCUCCACAUGGGAAAUGUCGGCAGCAUCCACAUUAUUGGUACUUGUAUUAUUUAGCUAGAGGUUGUGUAACAUAGAUCCAAGUUCUGCACUUUCAGCAGGGAUUUGAUGCUGAUUUGCAUGUGAUGGUUUUUAUGCAAUGUGGCUGCUGUUUGCUGGCGUUAAUUUGCAAUAUCAUAUUAUUCAUGAUUCAUGUGUGUAUGGUGCUGAUGUGUCAGUAGAAUGAAUUUUCACCCUUCUUGAACACAAUUUGGCAGAAAAAUGCUUAUAAAGAAACCAUAACCACAAACUAUCCCUACCUUUCUGGUGGGGUCUUUUAAGGAGCUAAUGCCUUUACUUAUGAGUAAGAGUGACG